CCUCCGCUGCAUAUCUCUCGUCGGUCCGUACUCUCGUCGCCUACCCUUCCCCAGCGGCACACGCGGACGCCUUCGAACCCUAGUCACCCGCGACCCCCCUGCAGUCCCCCGACGCCUCCUGCCCCCGGCGGCGGCUGCGGCAUCUGCGUCAGCGAAGAUGUCGGGCGGCUUCUUCCGGGGGACGUCCGCUGACCAGGACACGCGCUUCUCCAACAAGCAGGCCAAGCUGCUCAAGACGCAGAAGUUCGCGCCUGAGCUUGACCACUUGGUGGACAUGUCAAAGGUCAAGAUGGAUGUGAUGAAGCCCUGGAUCGCCAAGCGAGUCACUGAGCUUCUCGGGUUCGAGGACGAAGUGCUUAUCAACUUCAUCUAUGGCCUCCUCGAAGAGAAGGAGGCGGAUGGGAAGAAGAUCCAGAUCCAGCUGACAGGGUUCAUGGAGAAGAACACAGUGAAGUUCAUGAAGGAGCUCUGGGGCCUCCUCUUAAGUGCGCAACAGAAUGCCAGUGGGGUACCUCAACAGUUUCUAGAUGAAAAGGAGGCUGAAAUACAGCAGAGAAAGGCGGAGGAUGAUAGAAUUGCACAGGAGAUCCAAAAGAAGCGGGAGAAAGAGGGAAUAGACUUAGAACUGGAGAAGCAGAAAAUGAUGGAUGGGGAUACUAGCAACUCAAGAUCCUAUGGUGAUCCAAAUGGCUCUGCUUUAAAUAAAACAAAUAUCGAUGCCACGGAAGAAAUGGAAUUGGACUUCAAGCGCAGCUCAAGAACAAAGAACCGGGGAAGUCGCAGAUCCAGGAGCAUAUCUUUGUCACCCCAUGGUAGGCAAAGAUCUAUUUCUCCCAGAAAGCGUUCUCGAUCUCCUUCCAGGCGUUCCCGCUCCAUUGAUAGACAUCGUAGAUCAUCACGGCGUUCAACUUCACCUAGACGCUCUGCUUCUCCCCGAAGGCAUUCUCCAAGAAGUACCCCUUCAAUUUCUAGAAGGAGAUCACCUUAUUCAAGGAGAGGGUCACCUUCACUGUCAAGGUAUCCGUCCCCACCUUCACGCAGGAGAUCUCCUCUUCGCAGAAAAUCACCAUCAUCUGGAUCACGAAGGUCACCUUCUCCUCGCCAUCGUCGUUCACCAGCUCGUGCGCCAAGGAGGUCACCAUCUCCUGCACGUCGAAGGUCUCCUGUUCGACACAGAUUUUCACCAGGCAGACAUCGAUCUCCAUCUCCAGCAAGGCGUAGGCCAAGGUCCCCAUCUCCAGGAAGGCGAAGGCCAAGGUCCCCAUCUCCUGGAAGGCGCAGGCCACGGUCCCCAUCUCCAGGAAGGCGCAGACCACGGUCCCCAUCUCCUGGAAGCCGCAGGCCACGCUCCCCAUCUCCUGGAAGACGUAGGCCAUGGUCUCGAUCGCCAGUAAAACGUCGGUCCCCAUCUCCAAAACGCCGAAGGAGAUCCCCAAGUUCACCGAAAACUCGUUAUGCAAAUCGACGUCCAUCUCCACAGCGGAGAAGGAGUAUCAGUCCGUACAGUAGCAAAAGUCCUAAUCGUUCUCGCCGGAGUUUGAGUGUGGAGAUUGAGAAAGGAACAAAUGGCACCCCCUCCACUAAAGACAGAGUUGUGCCUGAAAGGGACCGAGAACGAAGAUCAGGUGAUGAUAGUGACAGGGAUGGUGCAAGGACUGGUGAUCAUCGUUCCCCAGAUUCUGAACGUAGGUUGUCAAAUUCCUUGAGGCCGCCAAAUAAUGAAGAAAGAAACUCCACACGUGAUAGGAGCUCAGGGAAACAAUUACCUAGUCAGGACAGCACAGAUACAAGUGGAGAUGAGGACGAAGGCAGUCGUGCUAGAGAGAGUGCACGAAAAGCAAAUUCAGCACGUAGGAAAACCAAGGAUUUCUCAGCAGAUCGGCAGCUGAAUAAAGUUGGAGCUGGUGUCUUAAGCCCUGGAGAAAAAUCUCCAUUCAUGUUACAAAGUGGCAAGGGCGUCCAGAAGAAACACCCUGAUCAACUGUCUGAAUCAUCAGAAGAUGAGCUUGUUGGUAGAAGAAUGAAGCGUAGAACUGAUUCUCCUGAUGAGCGUUCCCCACCUAGAAUUGAAAAAGAUGACUCGCAUUCAAAGGAUGAGAGGAACAGUGAGCGUGCCGUGAGGGGUUCACGUGAUGAUUCUGAUAAUGCUACUGGGGCAAAGAAAUAUUUUUCUAAAGUCAAUGAGGGCUCCCAAUCGGAAGAUGGAAGUCCUGUCAAAAAGCUCAAGAAAAGAACAGAUGUUAAAAGCCACAUUGAUUCUGGCAGUUCAGGGUCCGAAGAACCUGACAAACAUAGAUCCCAUUCUGAGAAGCAAAGGAACAAGAAGGCCCAUAAGCAUAAGAAACAGUAUGAUGAUAGUUCUGAGUCUGAUUCCGAGCCAGAUGGCAAAGAGGCAAAGAGGAGGAGGAAGGAAGAAAAGAAGCUAAGAAAAGAAGAAAGACGUCGUAGACGUGAAGAGCGGCAUCGCAGAAGGGCAGAACGCCAUGCCAGCAAACAAAAGUCGAAGCAUUCUGAUACUGUUGCACCUUCAGAUUCUGAGAAGGAUCGGGAUUCUGAUUCAGAUGUUGAUGUUAGGAAAAGAGGUUCACCCGUGGGCAGAGAAGAGUCUGAUCAGAAGAAACUUGAAAUCGAGCUUCGUGAGAAGGCCCUUGAAUCUCUUAGAGCCAAGAAAGCCAUCAACAACUAGCCUGAGAAUUUUAUUCCGACGCAUUUGAGUUUCUAUUUUCAAGUGCUUAUCUCAAUGUUAUGGAAGUGUGGUUAUAUGAUGCCUAUUUAAUGUUCUGUAUGUUUAUGUGGCAGUUGAUCUGAGGAUUCCUGAUCUGUUUCCUUGAUGCAGCUGCGUGCAGGCUUAGCUGCCAGUUAUCUGAUUAGCACCAUGUGCACAAGCUUUUUAUGUUCCUCAGGAUGAUUUGAUCCACGCCUCAACAAAAACAAGUUGGUAACAUUGUUGAUUGGAAAGUCUGCUAAAGCAUUCCUUCUUACCAGUUGUUUGGUCGGUGCUGCUUAGUUUCAGGUUUGUGCAGUAGCCAAUAUAUUUGAUUGCUAUAUCACGCAGGUAAAUAUUUGAUGCUAUAGCCAUCAUUCUUUUCAGAAACGUAGUUUUAAUGCUGACUUAAGAGAAAGUGAAAAAAAAUAUACCAUGAUAAACUUUUAUGCUUGGAAUAUGAAACCACCAAACCAGCUGAUGAUUUGAGCUACAAACAGUAUUUGCAGAAAUCAUCUUCCACCUGGGAUGACCUCCAUCUUUAGUUUGCCAACUUAGGCUAUUACUUGCUGUCCAAUGAUGCAUGGGCAUGUGUGCUUUAGAAAGAAAAAACCGGGGGACAAGGGGAGCUUCCUGUUCUCCUUGUUGAUUAGUGCCCUGAGUUUAUAGAAUCUUUAUUGACUGGUAAUACUAUGGUUCCUUUUCUUGGCUUUGACCGUUAUCUUGGUUUUCCAUGUUCAUCCUCAUGACAAAUCUAGCAUAGUUUUUAACUGACGGCUUAAAUAGCGUGCUAGUGCUGUUUCUUUUCGAAGAGGUAGAAUAGCUUUGGAGUCAUCCAAUUCAGUACUAGUUGUACAAAAUGCGUUCAUGCAUUUGGGAGACCACGUGUAACCAAAUCAUGCUUUCAUCUGUUCACCUUUGAUCUGUGGGUCACUGAUGUUGAGACUUAAGGCUACUCAGUUCAUUUAUGUUGGGUUGCAAGCACUUUGUGCCCUUCUCUAUGUUGGUUUGGAUGUAGCAUCCUACCGACACCAGCACAUUUAGAAUUCAGUGUCUUGUGUAGACGUGCACGUCAAUCGAUUAUUAUAUUAGCAUUUAUGGAGAUGUGAUGCUGAGUAUUUUUGUUGCUGCGACCUAGGGUUGUGUUCGGGGAGAUCAGCAUGCUUUGGUUAGUCGUGGAUUCAGAUUGCAGCAUUUUGUAAUCUGAAAUUUUAUGGAGCCAAAAAAGUGCAACAAAUUUGAACAGUCAUUAGAAAUUUCUUGUGUGCUGUCAUGUUAAUUCCCAGGAGGGGACACGUGAGGAACUCAGUUCCAGCUAGUCGCCAAGGGGCAGUGAGUUGUUGCCAACAGUAGCGACCACUGGAAUCUGAGUUCUUACGAAGGUGUAUCCCUAAACGUGGCGUCAGCGUCACAUGGGAAUGCUUCUUUAGAAAUUGCAAAUUUACAUUUAGUUUAAUUAACAAUGCAAUCUUAUGUGUACUCCAUUAUUUUCUUAGCUUGUUCCAGUGUAUCCUUAUGAUCUGUUUCACUGUUUGGAUGCCCUUCAACCUACUUUCCCCCAUUCAUUGAAAAUGCUAUA